rnacentral:rRNA from 1 species
AAACGCUGGCGGCGUGUCUUAAGCAUGCAAGUCGAGCGGCAGGCGCAGCAAUGCGCUGAGAGCGGCGGACUGGUGAGUAACGCGUGGGUAAUCUACCUUUGGCAUGGGGAUAGCCACUAGAAAUAGUGGGUAAUACCGAAUACGUUCCCUGGGGGGAGGUUUCAGGGAAGAAAGGGUGCUACGGCACCGGCCGGAGAUGAGCUCGCGUCCCAUUAGCUAGUUGGUGAGGUAACGGCCCACCAAGGCGAUGAUGGGUAGCCGGCCUGAGAGGGUGUACGGCCACACUGGGACUGAGAUACGGCCCAGACUCCUACGGGAGGCAGCAGCUAAGAAUAUUCCGCAAUGGACGAAAGUCUGACGGAGCGACGCCGCGUGGAUGAUGAAGGCCGAAAGGUUGUAAAGUCCUUUUGCUGGGGAAGAAUAAGUGUGGGAGGGAAUGCCCGCAUGAUGACAUGAACCGGCGAAUAAGCCCCGGCCAACUACGUGCCAGCAGCCGCGGUAACACGUAGGGGGCGAGCGUUGUUCGGAAUUACUGGGCGUAAAGGGCAUGUAGGCGGUCUGGUAAGCCUGGCGUGAAAGGCCACAGCUCAACUGUGGGAUUGCGUUGGGAACUGCU